rnacentral:rRNA from 1 species
AGAGUUUGAUUAUGGCUCAGGAUGAACGCUGGCGGCGUGCCUAACACAUGCAAGUCGAACGGAGCAUACGGACCGGAGAUUCGUCGAAGGAUCGUAUGACUUAGUGGCGGACGGGUGAGUAAUGUAUGAGCAACCUGCCUUUCAGAGGGGGACAACAGUUGGAAACGACUGCUAAUACCGCGUAACGUAUCGUGGGGGCAUCCUCGUGAUACCAAAGGAGCAAUCCGCUGAAAGAUGGGCUCAUAUCUGAUUAGCUUGUUGGCGGGGUAACGGCCCACCAAGGCGACGAUCAGUAGCCGGACUGAGAGGUUGAACGGCCACAUUGGGACUGAGAUACGGCCCAGACUCCUACGGGAGGCAGCAGUGGGGAAUAUUGGGCAAUGGGCGAAAGCCUGACCCAAGCAACGCCGCGUGAAGGAAGAAGGUCUUCGGAUUGUAAACUUCUUUUAUGAGGGACGAAGGACGUGACGGUACCUCAUGAAUAAGCCACGGCUAACUACGUGCCAGCAGCUGC